CCUCCUGAGCAGGAAUUGUCUUGCAUGUUCCCAGAUUUGCUGGAAAUUCCAGGGACCACUGUAAUGCAAGUAAUGUAAAGCAACAUUUGGUCCAUGUUACGGCAAGAAGAGUUUGAAAAUGAAGACGUUAGGCUGGGGAGAACAUCAACAAACAUCAGAUGAAGUUAUCAUCCAGGUUGGCUGUUAGCCAAGUUGCUGCAAGCCUCAUUGGAGUCUGCCUUAUGAAAUGCCAAUUCCAGCAAAGUCAGAACCUGCCUGUGAACACAGUGGGGCUCGAAAUGAGAAAGUUUUGAACCAUCAGUGAGAUGAACUUCUGCAAGAGCCUCUGACUAGGACUCACUGAAUCACACGGACUUGUUUUAAGCGGGAUCCUGCAAAUUGAGUGAGCAAACAAGCAAGCCCAUCAGACCCAGCUACUCAGCCAGGUGGGAGCAUGAAGGAGCUGCAAGGACCUCUCUGGUUCCUUAUGCUUGAGACGUGCAUUUCCAGAACCUGUAGGUUGGCAUUUGAGAGACAGGGGACUGGAGAGACUGUCUAUUGGCACAAAAUUGGACUUGGCACCUUAGUUCACUAGUCCAAGGCUUCCUAGGAGGAGAGCCCAUUGCCUUUGGUACGUUGAGCCUGGCUGUUCCCACUGAAGCCUGAUUUCGUGUGAGAUUGUUGUAGAGCACAUCAAAGCAGAAGGACAACAAAUGAUCUGAAGUGUUCUCCUGAGAGCCUGACUUGCUGAUUCAAGAAAUUUGUUCGGGCUUCCAUUAUCACUGUGCCAGUGUGAGAUGAAAUGUGAAGACAUGGCAAUUCACGGCAUGUAAUACCAAUGUGUCUCAGGAGCGUUUUUUUCUGUUAUGAUUGUUUUCCUUUGGUUGUUUUUGGGAAUCUGAGUAGAACUUAUUUUAAAAAAUAAACUCCAUGACAUACUUAUUUUACUUGCCUGGAAGAUGAGAGGAAAAGGCCCAUGAUAUCAGUCAUCUUGGCUAUACUCCUUGUUCCCUAUGUAGACAUGAUUCUUAACACAUGGAUCAUUCCUUUGAGAUUGAUGAAUAAAGGAGACUUGCUACAAAUGUCUCUCUUGGCCCUGUAGGAGCCAAUACCCUGCUAGGAUUUUAUGGGAAUCUUGGAGACAUUUAGCUCACACAAGCUGCAUUUCUUCUUAAUCCCGUUGAUGAUGAUCUCUGGACAUGUGGAGGAAAAUCCAGCUCAUGGCAUUGUAAUUCCUGCUGGAGGGUUUGCAAGGGACUUUUUUUGUCUACCUGAAGAGAUGCAUAGAUGGAGGAAGCUGAGAUUCCCCUCUACCCAACCUGAGCAUACAAAAGGCCAUGAAGCCUUCCCAGACCACGUGGACCU